rnacentral:rRNA from 1 species
CCUACGGGGGGCUGCAGUGGGGAAUAUUGCACAAUGGGGGAAAGCCUGAUGCAGCAACGCCGCGUGAGCGAUGAAGUAUCUCGGUUCGUAAAGCUCUGUCCUCAGGGAAGAUAAUGACGGUACCUGAGCAGGAAGCCCCGGCUAACUACGUGCCAGCAGCCGCGGUAAUACGUAGGGGGCUAGCGUUAUCCGGAUUUACUGGGUGUAAAGGGAGCGUAGGUGGCAGCACAAGUCAGGAGUGAAAUGCCAGGGCUUAACCCCGGAAAGGCUUUGGAAACUGGGAGGCUGGAGUGCAGGAGGGGGAAGUGGAAUUCCUAGUGUAGCGGUGAAAUGCGUAGAUAUUAGGAGGAACACCAGUGGCGAAGGCGGCUUACUGGACUGUAACUGACGCUGAGGCACGAAAGCGUGGGGAGCAAACAGGAUUAGAUACCCGGGUAGUC